AACAAACGCUGGCGGCGUGCCUAAUACAUGCAAGUCGAACGAAUGUAGCAAUACAUGAGUGGCGUACGGGUGAGUAACACGUGGAUAAUCUUCCUUUAAGUGGGGAAUAACCAAUCGAAAGAUUGGCUAAUACCGCAUAAGACCACAGUUUCUUCGGAGACAGGGGUUAAAGGCUUCGGCCGCUUUUAGAUGAGUCUGCGUCCGAUUAGCUAGUUGGGGAGGUAAUGGCUCACCAAGGCGACGAUCGGUAACUGGUCUGAGAGGAUGACCAGUCACACUGGGACUGAGACACGGCCCAGACUCCUACGGGAGGCAGCAGUAGGGAAUAUUGCACAAUGGAGGAAACUCUGAUGCAGCGACGCCGCGUGAGUGAUGAAGGCUUUCGGGUUGUAAAGCUCUGUUCUCAGGGAAUAAUAAAUUGAAGGUAUCUGAGAAGAAAGGACCGGCUAACUUCGUGCCAGCCGCCGCCGUAA
rnacentral:rRNA from 1 species